rnacentral:rRNA from 1 species
CAGCACCUCAAGUGGUCAGGAUGAUUAUUGGGCCUAAAGCAUCCGUAGCCGGCUCUGUAAGUUUUCGGUUAAAUCUGUAUGUUCAACAUACAGGCUGCCGGGAAUACUGCAGAGCUAGGGAGUGGGAGAGGUAGACGGUACUCGGUAGGAAGGGGUAAAAUCCUUUGAUCUAUUGAUGACCACCUGUGGCGAAGGCGGUCUACCAGAACACGUCCGACGGUGAGGGAUGAAAGCUGGGGGAGCAAACCGGAUUAGAUACCCGAGUAGUCC